UGAUGGAUUAGAUAGCGGUUUUCAAGAAGCCCAAAGCACUUUACAUUAAAUCCAUUCUUGAUUCAUAGCACAUUUAAUACAGCAUAUUCUUCCUCAAAUUGUAAUAUAACAGGUACAUAUGUCCCAAGAUCUUCAUACUAGAAAUGUAUUAGGGCAAUUUUUGGAUGUAGUUUUUGUGAAGAAUAUGGGAUGUAGCUGUUAAAUCUACAUUCUGUUGAACUCAAUAAACCAUGAGCUUAAAAUGUAAAAGCCAACAACAACUUGAGAGACCUACGGCUAAUGAUAGACAUACUAUAUUAUUGAGUGAAUUCAUAUAAUCCCAAAAGUGUUAAAAUAAUAAUCUGUUGUCUGUUCUAUUUAUUCAUAGUUAAUUAUCAUAUGAAGAAAAAAGAUUUUAAAAGCAACUCCUCCCAAAACUAGGUGUUUUCCCCUGAAGUUUAGAGCACCAUUUCACAUCAAGGCGCCUGAUUUCAAACGGGCCAAUCAGCGCACUGCAUCAGGCUCCACCGCAGACAACGUCUGUACAGCUCCACACAAGUUUUGCUUUGGAUUACGGCAGCACGCUAUCUUCAUUUUCGUGGACUUGUUUCUCAUUUUUUUAAUUUAACGUCUGCCACAGCUCGUCUUCAGUUACUACGGUAAGAAAAUAAUCCAACUUGGUUUAUUUAUCGACAGCAUUGUGUUGCAGGCAGUGAAGGCGCAAAUGAUAAAUUUACGUUAGCUUUAGCUCAUUUCUAGCAGUAGCGUUAGCUACAUUAGGCUGAAAAGAGCCUUGCAAAACCAGCAGUGCGCGUUUUAAGACGUGUUUUGGAGACGGGUGUAUUAAUGGAAACCGUCUAAUUAGUAUAGCUAUAUUUGAAUGCUUUGUCUAAAUGCUGCCUGUUUUUUCCCGCCUUGUUUGACAUCCGGCUGAAGCUUUAAGUUAGCUAGCCUGGCAGCUGUGUCAUAUUGACUAUGUAUUUUUGCAGCAUAUGUGGAGAAUCGGUUCAGUCCGUGAAAGCUUAUGUUUUGCAUUGCAGACUGCAUCGUAAUGAACCCCGGUGUAUUUUUAAAUGUGUUGAAGUAAGUUGUAAGCAGGUGUUUUCUGGAUAUGCUGCUUUAAAGUCUCACUUCUACCGCCACCACACUGGUACCGCAACUGUUUCUCAGAAUGCUACCUUAAUGGGUUUGAACUGCACUGUCUCACUUUGUGAACGCCAAUGUGAGGGAACUAAAGCUUUGAUUGCUCACUUAAAGGAACACAUAGAAGAGGGACGGCAUGUAACUUGUCCAGUGAGAGGAUGCCAAAGUGUGUUCUCUGUAAAAUCUACAUUUACCUCCCAUAUGUCUAGAAAACACAAACGUUUGGAAAAUGUGAUUUGUGGUUUAAACAAAGAUACUCAGUCAGAGAGUCCAUCUACAAGUGCCACUAUACAGGAAGGUGCCAGUGUAUCAGAUACAGAAGACCCUGGUAUGGAUGGGUCUAAUUUCAGUGACCUGUAUCUCAGAAAUGUAUGUAUGUUUUACAUCAAACUACAGGGACAGCAUCUUCUGCCAGCAUCUACCAUUCAAACCAUUGUUGAAGAAAUACAAAAUAUACAUGAAUUGGGACACAUGUAUACAUUGAAUAGACUAAGCUCACUUCUAAAAGAUAUGUCAGUUUCAGAUGAAGACAUUAUAAAAAUCUGUGACACAGUAAAACAAUCUGACUUGUUCUCAGCUUGUCACACAGGGCCCAUGAGAACUGCUUAUUCAAGAGUUCAGUGCUUUAAAGAUGUGUUCAAGUAUGUUGAACCCAGAAAAGUGUUUUUGGGCAGGGACGAGAACAGGAUGGAGAGAUUUGCCUAUUAUGUUCCUCUGCUAAAUACUUUGAAGAGUAUGCUGGAAUCAAGUUUUUGGCAAGGUCUCAUAUCAGUGGAUCCUAAUAAUGUUUCAAGACCAGAUGUUCUCAGGGACUGUUGUGAUGGUAACGUGUUUGUGUCAAACAAAUUUUUUCAGGAAAAUCCACAUUGCCUGAAGCUGGUUCUAUACCAGGAUGCAUUUGAAGUAGUGAACCCACUUGGUUCUGCAAAAAAGAAGCACAAGGUUUUGGCUGUGUACUUCUCUCUACUCAACAUCCCCCCCCAUGCCCGGUCAAAUGCUGAUCAUAUGCAGCUAGUCUUACUGUGUAGGGAGAAGGAUUUCAAGGAAUUUGGCCAUGAAAAUGUUUUUUCAGAACUCCUGACUGAUUUGAAGGUACUAGAGGAGAAUGGGAUAACAGUGGCAGACAAACCUGUUGUGAAAGGAGUGCUCUACUGCAUUGCUGGAGACAACCUGGGCUCUCAUUGUAUUGGGGGUUUUACAGAAAAUUUCAGUUCAUCAGUGUACUUAUGCAGAUAUUGUCUGUUAACUCGAACUGAAUUUCAGGGUGCUGAUCCAGCAGUGUGUGGACCUCAGCGGACCCCAGAAACGUAUAGAUCUGCCACUGAACAGCUGGAAAGAGAAGACGUGUCAGAAGUUCAGGGGAUAAAGUUCAGGUCUGUAUUUAAUUCUUUACAAAGCUUUGAUGUUUGCACACCUGGCAUGCCCCCAUGUCUCGGUCAUGACAUCUUUGAGGGUGUCCUCUCAUACGAUCUUGCUCUUUACCUCAAGUACUUCAUCAACACAAAUAAAUGGUUCACUUACCCAAUUCUGAACAGGCGCAUCAAGCAAUUUAAAUACAAAGAAACAGAUGCUUCAUCCAAACCUUGUGAGGUCAGUCCAAAAACAUUGAAACUUGGUGGACAAGCUGUUCAAAAUUGGAACUUCUUGAGACUUUUACCUCUCAUAAUUGGAGACAGAGUGCAGAACUCUCAAGAUGAUGUGUGGCAGUUAACGUUGCAGCUUAAGGACAUUGUUGACCUAAUUUGUGCUCAGCAAAUUUCCAAGGCUCAGGUUACUUAUCUGGAUGCUCUCAUCCAAGAGUAUUUGGAAACCAGAAAGGUGCUGUUUCCUAAUAUCAACUUAAGACCUAAACACCAUUACUUACGACAUUAUCCAGGGCUGAUCCUAAAAUUUGGCCCUCUCAUCAGGCUGUGGACAAUGCGCUUUGAGAGCAAACACAGCUACUUCAAAAGAUGUGCAAGGCAUCUGAAAAAUUUCAAAAAUCUGUGCUUGACUCUUUCAGAGAGACAUCAGAUGUUUCAGGCCUUCCUUUCUGCUGGGUCAGUGAGUCCUCCAGCAUUGCAAAUAAAAGAUUGCUCACCAUUUUACUCAGAGCUUUACAGUGAGCAAGUUAAAGACGCAGUCCUACAUUUUGGCUUUACUGAAAGUAAUACAAAGAUUCCAGUUGCGGUUCAGUAUAAUGGCCUUACUUACAGGAAGGGUCAGUUUAUUGUCACUAAGUUUGAUCAGUCAAUGGAGUUUGGUGAACUUCUCCUCAUUCUUAUUAAAGAUGAGUCUGCUCUUCAUUUUCUCAUGAGAGUUUAUGAUGCAGAAUUUCUUUCUUGCUACCACAUGUACUCUGUAAAAAAUGACACUGGGAGAUUAGAGUGCAGACUCAUCAGUGAACUGAUUGACUUGUGGCCGUUAUCAUCUUACGUGAAAAACGGACACCAGAUUGUUCCACUGAAGCACAGCGUCUUGUCAGACUGAAUGCCUUGAUGUCAUUGGGCCAGAGCCAAACUGUUUGUAUGUGUGUCUUAACAGAUAUGGCUGAAUCGCAGGUGCUUAUCUUAAAGAACAUAGGGGAUGCAAUUGCAGGAGUGCUUCCGGACCUUCCUGAUCAACUUCUCAAGUCAGUAGAAGAUACUUUGAAAACACUUGGUGCAGAAACCACAGAUGAUUUAAAGUACAUUACAGAAAAUGGCCUGCUGCCAGUGCUCAAGCCCAUACAAGCCAGAAGACUAGUGGCUGCCUGGACCCAAAAUGGUAAGUGUAAAACAUUGUCACCACACCAAACGCACAGAGGGCUGUUGAAGUUGGAAAUAGUUAGAAUAUGAGUGUUCCUGAGUCUGAUGAUGUGACCAUCAUUAUUUAACCAUGCUUUCUGUGUAAAUAAAACUUGGAUGCUUUGUGGGGCAGUUUAAUACAUUUUGAGUUUCAAAAUGCAAUCUAUCAGACAAAUUGCAUUAUUAAGUUUUGACCACACUGUGUAACCUUAAUAUCUCAAAAUGUAUCUAUGCAGUGCAGAAUUUAACAUAACAGAAAAAAUGAUUUAAUGCUUUCAUAUCUCUUUUUUAUGUACUUUUAAAGUCUCUGGCAGCUCGACACCAAUUGCUGUACAUUCCUCUCCAGUGGAUGUCCUUCUUUCUCCACCCUCAAUUUCUUCUUCACCAACAUCAUCCACCACUACUUCAUCACCUUCAGGAAUCUGUACACCAUUACUACCAAACUGGGUAGAGAGAUUUGAGAUACCAUGGCAGAGGCUCCCUGAGGAGUUGGUACAGAACUUGGAAAGACAGAAAAGACCAAGCGCAAGACAAAGACGAGAAAUGGUAAGGAUUGUGGUCUCUGAAAUGAUGAAGAUUUGUAAGAAUCCAACCAAACACAAUACUACAGAGAUAGCAAAAAGGAUGGUGGCCAAGUAUCCCAAGUCUCUUCAAGAUGUGAUUGAUGGUGAUGUUAUUGGACCUGGAUAUCAUUCCCUGGUAAAGCAACUUCAGGCAAGAGUUGAAAAUGUCAAGCGACCUGACAUACCAAAGGUAAAAAAACGCAAAGCAAUAUCAGAUGACGGCAACGACACAGACGAAAUACCAGCUGAACAAAAAGCAAGGGUUCAAGACACAUAUGGCUGUAUUAGCUGGGAGCCAAAGCAUUUGCCACUCUCUGAGACUGUGGAGAGUCAACUUGAAAAAAAAGAAGAAAUGAAGAAGCUGUUUAAAAAGAAUAACUAUAGUACAGAUGUUGUGAAAGAACUAGUCACGUGCACCUAUUACACGCAGCGUAAAGACAUCAAUAAAGGGGCAAGCAUCCAGAAGCUAUGCCAGGAAUGGCCCUUUCUCUUCAAUGAAGUUGGUAUGACCGCACAUUUCCAAGAACUGACUGGUGUGAAUCUGAUGGAGACCUUCCUUGCCAAUGUAGACAAAAAGGGUGCACGUCUGUUAAAGUUCCUCAAAUAUGUUGAUGCACAAAAGCACAAGCAAGUCCUGAAUGCUGUUCUCAAACUUCAGACUGAAAGAGGUCAGUUCAGUGGUUGCUUGCAAGAAGUCAUUGAGAUGAUGCUUCUUUUACUGGCUCAUUUUGACGAGAAGGAAGAGCUUCUGUUCCACUGCGUUGAGAUGACAAGCCUUGCAGAAGAUGUUCAGAUGGAGAAAGUACCACCAACACCCUUCAUCAUUGUUUGCGGUUCCUCCUGCUUCGCUGCUGAGACAUUCAUGUUGAGCAUUGACAAGAAGAUUGUCAACGACCGCAUCGCAACCUUCACCUCUGCUAUCUGCCUAAUGUUUGGCAGUUACUACUGCUUUAACAUACACUACCCUGUGGAACUACGAUCAACACUGGAGUUCCUUCAACGGUGUUUCUUUUCCAUAAAUCCUGAGAGAGGCACCAAGGUUGAAUCCAAGAAGAAAAAAGUGUUCUCAGUCAAUCCCAGAGUCCUCACUCUCAUCUCAGACAUUGCUGACCAUGAGUGGAUCUAGUCCUACCCCUCUUGUUUGAGACAAAGUGAUAAAGGUAUACUAUGUUACAUACUCUACAGAUGUUCUGUUUUUGAAACAAUUGUUACAUUUCUGACUGUGAGUGGGAAGUUUUUAACAAUGUGAAGUUUUACUAGACACAAUUUGUAAAAGUACAUGUUCUACUUUUGAUUCACUGUUUUAUAUCUGAAAAAUGUAUAUGGUAAAAAUGUGGUAAACCUGCUAUUUUGUUUCUUGGAUUUUAAUUUUCCCAGUUUUAAAGAUAUUUGUAUUCCAAUAGUGUAAAAGUAUGCUGCAUGUACAUUGCUGGCAUUUUGUAGUUAUCCAAAAAUUUGCAGUUGAAGUUCUCAAAACAAGUGUAAAGUUUUUGUUUGUUACCUGAUGCAGUUUGAAGAUGUACAUUUCAGCUUUACUGCUCAGUUCUGUGUGCAAAAUAUGUGGGUUAAACUUGUUCCUGUAAUUUCUUCAAUUCAGAUUUUCUUUCAAUUAUAGAAAAAAUGUUUCAUUCUCUAUAUUUGUAUUUGGAUCAUUUGAAAAGUCAAGAUUCUAUGUGUACUGACAUUUAUGUAGUGAGAACAGCACCAAAAACACUUAAAGGUGUCUGAAUUGUCCGCUAAAGGUAAUGUGAAAUAUAAUGUGUGCUCAACUUACAGCACUGGUUUUGCACAAUUUGAACAGAACUUGUGAGAAUUCUGUGAUUCCAUACUGUUACUGUCAUGGAGAUAACUAGUAACUAUUUCUGAUUUGUUUAGUAAAAAUGUAAACGUUUGAUGUUCAAAACAUCAAAGAUGUUAAAUAAAAUACUUUUUUGGAAAUUUAA